GUAUCUUAUUUAAAGAAAGUGACAGAGUGAUGAUGUGGUUGGCUUGAAACUAACAUACGGGGGUUUGAUUC
rnacentral:tRNA from 1 species